rnacentral:rRNA from 1 species
UNUGAAGUUAAAGGCUGUGGCUUAACCAUAGUACGCUUUGGAAACUGUUUAACUUGAGUGCAGAAGGGGAGAGUGGAAUUCCAUGUGUAGCGGUGAAAUGCGUAGAUAUAUGGAGGAACACCGGUGGCGAAAGCGGCUCUCUGGUCUGUAACUGACGCUGAGGCUCGAAAGCGUGGGGAGCGAACAGGAUUAGAUACCCUGGUAGUCCACGCCGUAAACGAUGAGUGCUAGGUGUUAGGCCCUUUCCGGGGCUUAGUGCCGCAGCUAACGCAUUAAGCACUCCGCCUGGGGAGUACGACCGCAAGGUUGAAACUCAAAGGAAUUGACGGGGGCCCGCACAAGCGGUGGAGCAUGUGGUUUAAUUCGAAGCAACGCGAAGAACCUUACCAGGUCUUGACAUCCCGAUGCCCGCUCUAGAGAUAGAGUUUUACUUCGGUACAUCGGUGACAGGUGGUGCAUGGUUGUCGUCAGCUCGUGUCGUGAGAUGUUGGGUUAAGUCCCGCAACGAGCGCAACCCUUAUUGUUAGUUGCCAUCAUUCAGUUUGGCACUCUAGCGAGACUGCCGGUAAUAAACCGGAGGAAGGUGGGGAUGACGUCAAAUCAUCAUGCCCCUUAUGACCUGGGCUACACACGUGCUACAAUGGCUGGUACAACGAGUCGCAAGUCGGUGACGGCAAGCUAAUCUCUUAAAGCCAGUCUCAGUUCGGAUCGUAGGCUGCAACUCGCCUACAUGAAGUCGGAAUCGCUAGUAAUCGCGGAUCAGCACGCCGCGGUGAAUACGUUCCCGGGCCUUGUACACACCGCCCGUCACACCACGAGAGUUUGUAACACCCGAAGUCGGUGAGGUAACCUUUUAGGAGCCA